GUGUUUUAAUUCGAAGAAACGCGAAGAAGUUUACCUCAGAUUGAGUCCCAGACGACAUCUCCUUAAUCGGGUAGUUCCCUUCGGGGAUAUUGUGUGCAGGUGGGUCUUGGUUUUUGUUAGCUCGUGUCGUGGGAUGUUGGGUUAAGUCCCGCAACGAGCGCAACCCUUGUCAUUAGUGUCCAUCAUUAAGUUGGGCACUCUAGAGAGACUGCCAGGGAUAACCUGGAGGAAGGUGGGGAUGACGUCAAAUCAUCAUGCCCCUUAUGCUUAGAGCUACACACGUGCUACAAUGGGUAGUACGGAGGGUUGCCAAUCCGUAAAGUGGAGCUACUCCCUUACAGCUACUCUCAGUUCGGAUUGUAGGCUGAAACUCUCCUACAUGAAACUGUAGUUACUAGUAACUCCAGCUUCAGAAUUCUACCUUUAAUUCUUUCCCGUGGCUUUUCCAACACGCGCUCCACACACACGG
rnacentral:rRNA from 1 species